GCACAAUCUAAAGUGUAGGGCUGGAAUGAAUGAAUGAGCUCUCUAGGCGAGCAAAGCCUUUCAGGGCUGAUGUCCCUCGGUCCCACGAGCCAGGCCUCCGCAGGCUGAGCACUGAGCGCUGUCUGUCUGACCAGAACAUCAUCCACUCGGGCAGUGCCCUCCUGGCCCCGGCCACCAGGGCAGCGUGGGAGCAGAUCCAGCGGAGCGAGGGUGGCACGGCACAGCUGCUCCGGCGCCUCGAGGGCUACUUCAGCAAUGUGGCACGCAACGUGCAGUGGACGUACCUGCAGCCCUUUGUCAUCGUCACCACCAACAUGAGUAAGGCACUGGCUGCGUUGGGGGUGGAGGCCUGCAACCCUCAGGGGUGCGCCCAGGAGCUGGGUCCCCAUGGGUGGAGCAGGUGGGCUCCCGGCCCCCACUUGGCCAUGCUCUUAGAAAAAUGAUUCAGAGGCUGGGCGCAGUGGCUCACGCCUAUAAUCCCAGAACUUUUGGAGGCCGAGACAGGCAGAUCACAUGCAGUCAGGAGUUGGAGACCAGCCUGGGCAACAUGGUGAAACCCUGUCUCUACUAAAAAUGCAAAAAGUAGCCAGGUGUGAUGGUGCAUGCCUGUAAUCCCAGCUACUUGGGAGGCUGAGGCAGGAGAAUCACUUGAACCUGGGAGGCAGAGGUUGCAGUGGGCCAAGAUUGCACUAUUGCAUUCCAGCCUGGGUGACGGGGAGACUCUGUC
rnacentral:lncRNA from 1 species